AAAAURACUCUCGGCAACGGAUAUCUCGGCUCUUGCAUCGAUGAAGAACGUAGCGAAAUGCGAUACUUGGUGUGAAUUGCAGAAUCCCGUGAACCAUCGAGUUUUUGAACGCAAGUUGCGCCUAAAGCCAUUAGGCUGAGGGCACGCCUGCCUGGGUGUCACAA
rnacentral:rRNA from 1 species